AUUGAACGCUGGCGGAAUGCUUUACACAUGCGAGUCGAACGGCAGCACGGGUGCUUGCACCUGGUGGCGAGUGGCGAACGGGUGAGUAAUACAUCGGAACGUACCCAGUCGUGGGGGAUAACGUAGCGAAAGUUACGCUAAUACCGCAUACGUCCUGAGGGAGAAAGCGGGGGACCGUAAGGCCUCGCGCGAUUGGAGCGGCCGAUGGCGGAUUAGCGAGUUGGUGGGGUAAAGGCCUACCAAGGCGACGAUCCGUAGCGGGGAUGAGAGGACGGCCCGCCACACUGGAACUGAGACGCGGUCCAGACUCCUACGGGAGGCAGCAGUGGGGAAUUUUGGACAAUGGGCGAAAGCCUGAAUCAGCCAUUCCGCGUGAGUGAAGAAGGCCUUCGGGUUGUAAAGCUCUUUCGGCAGGGAAGAAACGGCUUGGGAUAAUACCCCGGGCUAAUGACGGUACCUGAAGAAGAAGCACCGGCUAACUACGUGCCAGCCGCCGCCGUAA
rnacentral:rRNA from 1 species